UGAUCAGGAAUGGUGAAGACUUCGGGCC
rnacentral:piRNA from 1 species